rnacentral:rRNA from 1 species
CCUACGGGAGGCAGCAGUGGGGAAUUUUUCGCAAUGGGGGCAACCCUGACGAAGCAAUGCCGCGUGGAUGAAGAAGGCCUUCGGGUUGUAAAGUCCUUUCGUGGGGGACGAAAAGGCGGAUCCGAAUACGGUCUGCUAUUGACGUUACCCGCAGAAGAAGCACCGGCUAACUCCGUGCCUGCAGCCGCGGUAAUACGGAGGGUGCAAGCGUUAAUCGGAAUUACUGGGCGUAAAGCGCACGCAGGCGGUCUGUCAAGUCGGAUGUGAAAUCCCCGGGCUCAACCUGGGAACUGCAUUCGAAACUGGCAGGCUAGAGUCUUGUAGAGGGGGGUAGAAUUCCAGGUGUAGCGGUGAAAUGCGUAGAGAUCUGGAGGAAUACCGGUGGCGAAGGCGGCCCCUGGACAAAGACUGACGCUCAGGUGCAAAGCGUGGGGAGCAAACAGGAUUAGAUACCUGGUGGUCACGCCCUAAACGAUGGAUACUGGAUGUUUGGCGCCUUAAGUGCUGAGUGUCGUAGCUAAACGCGAUAAGUAUCCCGCCUGGGAAGUUCGGCGCAAGGUAAAAACUCAAAGGAAUUUGACG